rnacentral:lncRNA from 1 species
AUGACCUGUGGUGUAGGUCACAGACGUGGCUUGGAUCCUGCAUUGCUGUGGCUCUGGCGUAGGCUGGUGGCUGUAACUCCGAUUAGACCCCUAGCCUCCAUAUGCCCCACAGGUGUGGCUCUAAAAAGCAAAAAAAAAAAAAAAAAGCAAAAACCACGCACCUCCAUUCCCAGCUGGAGGGCCCCUGCUCUCUCCCCUGGGGUUCAGCCUGAUGCAUGCCCUGACCUGGAAGCUAUCCUAUUUCUUCACCACAGUAUUACCAGGGCGGCAGAAGGGCUCAGACAUCACAGAGCAGACCACCCAUUUCACAGCUGGGAAACUGAGACCCAAACUGUGCUUAUUAGUGACUCCUCGAGGGAUGAGAGGCAGCCUGCCAUGAUAUCACAUGGCAUACAGCUUCUGGAAAACCCCACUGGACACUCAUGGGAGAAUGAAGUGAAAAAGGCAGAAAAUGUCUCUGAGAUGGUCUCAGGCAUCAGUGCCCGGGUCACACUUUGAGAACUGCUGGCUGAACUUAAUGCUCAACAAUGAUGCUAUAAGGUGGGUACUAAAAUGAAAUUAUCCUCAUUUUACAAGGGAGAAAAUUGAGGCCCAGAGAGGUGAAGUUACUAGUCGGAGGUCACACAGCAGUAAGUGGCAGAGUUGGGGUCUGAACUCCAGGAAUUAGACUGUUAACCUUGACAAGAUCUGUGUGUGUGUGUGUGUAAUCAUAAAUAACUUGCAAGGAGUUCCCGUCAUGGCUCAGUAGAAAUGAAUCUAACUAGUAUCCAUGAGGACGCAAGUUCGAUUCCUGGCCUUGCUCAGUGGGCUAAGGAUCAGUGUAGGUCACCAACACGGCUCAGAUCCCACAUUGCUGUGGCUGUGGUGUAAGCCAGAACCUGCAGCUCCUAUUCGACCUCUAGCCUGAGAACCUCCCUAUGCCACAGGUGUGGCCCUAAAGAGACAAAAAAUAAAAAAUAAAUAAAUAAGUUGCAGGUAUGUGUGAAAUUCUCAAGGCCUGGCAUGGUACCUGCCCAGGCCCCAGAGCCAGUGUCAGUAGUUAAGAGCCAGUGAUCUGGAGCUCCCUCGUGGCACAGCGGGUUAAGGAUCUGGCAUCGUCACUGCAUCAGCUUGGGUUGCUGCUGUGGCUUGGGUUUGAUCCCUGGCCAAAAAAAAAAAAAAAAAAGAAGAAGAGCCAGUGAUCUGAGCUCGAAUUCCUACCCUGACACCGUAACAGGUCUCUCUGGGGAAAAAGAAGAAACUACUAUUGGCUGAGAGACCAUCGGCAGCAGGCUAUCUGGUAUCUAUGCCUCAGUUUCCCUAGCUGUAAAAUGGGCUUAGUCAUAGAACCCAGCUCAGAACUUUGCAGUUGGGAAAAGAAUUAGCGGAACAUAAGCAUCCCAAAUUG